AUUGAACGCUGGCGGCAGGCCUAACACAUGCAAGUCGAGCGAGCGGCGGACGGGUGAGUAAUGUAUGGGGACUGCCCGAUAGAGGGGGAUAACUACUGGAAACGGUGGCUAAUACCGCAUACUAUCGGAUAACCCAUAUGGGAUUAGCUAGGAGGUGGGGUAAAGGCUCACCUAGGCGACGAUCCCUAGAUGGUCGUAGAGGAUGAGGAGCCACACUGUGACUGAGACACGGCCCAGACUCCUACGGAGGAAGCAGUGGGGAAGAUUGCACAAUGGGCGCAAGCCUGAUUCAGCCAUGCCGCGUGUAUGAAGAAGGCCUUAGGGUUGUAAAGUACUUUCAGCGGGGAGGCGUUACCCGCAGAAGAAGCACCGGCUAACUCCGUGCCAGCAGCCGCGGUAAUUC
rnacentral:rRNA from 1 species